rnacentral:misc_RNA from 1 species
CCUCCCCCUAUUUUCCCAUCACUYGUUCCUCCCCAAAAAAGUACAAUACAAACUUAAAAAAAACCMAAWAAAUUUCAAGUCUAUAAGAAAACGAUGUCAGAGGUUUGAGAUUUUUACUUAGUGAGAUUCACUCACGCACCAGAUUUU